rnacentral:ncRNA from 1 species
UAAAGGGCUAAUAUUAAAUCUUACUUGAUCCAUAUUUAAAAUAUUUUAUAAAAGUUUUAUUCUAGCUUAAAUAAUUUCUUUAAAGAAAUUUUAUAUGUAAAUUUAGUGUGAUAGCUAACGACCUAAAUGGGAGUUAUAUACGCGCAGUAUUUAAUAUUACUUAUUAAGGUAACUUAGAAGUAGUUAUUUUUAUAAUUUCGGUUUAAGUUGUGCCAGCUACCGCGGUUAAACAACGGAUGUGAGGGAUUAAAAUUGGUGAGUAGUUAACAGUUAUUAAAUAAAUAAGGAAAAAAAUAAGUAGGUGAAAUUUUUAUUUUUAAUAAAUUUAGAGAUGUGAAGCUAUAAAGGGUACUAAGAGACUAGGAUUAGAUACCCUACUAUUAUAUAAAUAGCACUAUGUACCAGAGUAAUAAUAGAUAUAUUCUUUAAACUCAAAGAAUUUGGCGGUGUUUUAGUCUAUUCAGAGGAACUUGUCCCGUAAUCGAUAAUCCCCGCUAUAAUUUAUUUAACAUUGUUCGAGCUUGUAUACCGCUGUCAUAAGAGUAUUCUAGUAGGAAGUGCUCUAGAUUCCUAAGUAGGAAAGAUGUCAAGUCAAGGUGCAGCCAAUGGUUAAAGGGAGAUGAGUUACAAUAAUAUUAGUUAAACGGAUAUGUUCUUUAAAAUGCAUUGAAGGUGGAUUUGAAGGUAAUAAAAAUUAGUAAAUUUUUAUGAAAGAGCUCUAAAACAUGCACACAUCGCCCGUCGCUCUCAUUUAUUAAGGUGAGAUAAGUCGUAACAUAGUAGGUGUACCGGAAGGUGUACCUGGUUAGAC